rnacentral:rRNA from 1 species
GGACUACUGGGGUUUCUAAUCCCGUUCGCUACCCACGCUUUCGUGUCUCAGUGUCAGGAAUGCCCCAGUCGAGUGCCUUCGCUUUUGGUGUUCCCCAUGAUAUCAACGGAUUUCACCCCUACUCCAUGAGUUCCCUCGACCUCUUGCAUCCUCUAGCAAUGCCGUUUCCUCUGCAGAACCCCGGUUGAGCCGAAGAAUUUGACAGAAGACUAACAUCGCCACCUACACACCCUUUACGCCCAAUAAUUCCGGAUAACGCUUGGGGCACUCGUAUUACCGCGGCUGCUGGCAC